rnacentral:rRNA from 1 species
GAUGAACGCUGGCGGCGUGCCUAAUACAUGCAAGUCGAGCGAACAGAUAAGGAGCUUGCUCCUUUGACGUUAGCGGCGGACGGGUGAGUAACACGUGGGUAACCUACCUAUAAGACUGGAAUAACUCCGGGAAACCGGGGCUAAUGCCGGAUAACAUUUAGAACCGCAUGGUUCUAAAGUGAAAGAUGGUUUUGCUAUCACUUAUAGAUGGACCCGCGCCGUAUUAGCUAGUUGGUAAGGUAACGGCUUACCAAGGCAACGAUACGUAGCCGACCUGAGAGGGUGAUCGGCCACACUGGAACUGAGACACGGUCCAGACUCCUACGGGAGGCAGCAGUAGGGAAUCUUCCGCAAUGGGCGAAAGCCUGACGGAGCAACGCCGCGUGAGUGAUGAAGGUCUUCGGAUCGUAAAACUCUGUUAUUAGGGAAGAACAAAUGUGUAAGUAACUGUGCACGUCUUGACGGUACCUAAUCAGAAAGCCACGGUUAACUACGUG